rnacentral:rRNA from 1 species
GAUGAACGCUGGCGGCGUGCCUAAUACAUGCAAGUCGAGCGAACGGACGAGAAGCUUGCUUCUCUGAUGUUAGCGGCGGACGGGUGAGUAACACGUGGAUAACCUACCUAUAAGACUGGGAUAACUUCGGGAAACCGGAGCUAAUACCGGAUAAUAUUUUGAACCGCAUGAUUCAAAAGUGAAAGACGGUCUUGCUGUCACUUAUAGAUGGAUCCGCGCUGCAUUAGCUAGUUGGUAAGGUAACGGCUUACCAAGGCAACGAUGCAUAGCCGACCUGAGAGGGUGAUCGGCCACACUGGAACUGAGACACGGUCCAGACUCCUACGGGAGGCAGCAGUAGGGAAUCUUCCGCAAUGGGCGAAAGCCUGACGGAGCAACGCCGCGUGAGUGAUGAAGGUCUUCGGAUCGUAAAACUCUGUUAUUAGGAAAGAACAUAUGUGUAAGUAACUGUGCACAUCUUGACGGUACCUAAUCAGAAAGCCACGGCUAACUACGUG